rnacentral:rRNA from 1 species
GAUGAACGCUGGCGGCGUGCUUAAUACAUGCAAGUCGAACGGAGACUGUAGCAAUACUGUCUUAGUGGCGAACGGGUGAGUAACGCGUUGGUGACCUGCCCCGAAGAGGGGGAUAACAGUCCGAAAGGAUUGCUAAUACCCCAUGUGGUCGUUUGGAUUAGAUGCCUUACGACUAAACGGAUUUAUUCGCUUCGGGAGGGGCCUGCGUCCCAUCAGCUAGUUGGUAGGGUAAUAGCCUACCAAGGCGAUGACGGGUAGGGGACCUGAGAGGGUGGCCCCCCACAAUGGAACUGAAACACGGUCCAUACACCUACGGGUGGCAGCAGUAGGGAAUAUUGGUAAUCUGGGAAACCGGGAACCAGCAACGCCGCGUGCGCGAUGAAGGCCUUCGGUUGUAAAGCGCUUUUUAAAGGGUAAUGAGGAAGGACAGUACCUUUAGAAUAAGCCUCGGCUAACUACGUG